GGCGGUGCAGGAUGAGCCCGCGCCUAUCAGCUUGUUGGUGAGGUAAUGGCUCACCAAGCGACGACGGGUAGCGCCUGAGAGGCGACGGCCACACUGGACUGAGACACGGCCAGACUCCUACGGGAGGCAGCAGUGGGGAAUAUUGCACAAUGGGCGAAAGCCUGAUGCAGCGACGCCGCGUGAGGGAUGACGGCUUCGGGUUGUAAACCUCUUUCAGCAGGGAAGAAGCGAAAGUGACGGUACCUGCAGAAGAAGCGCCGGCUAACUACGUGCCAGCAGCCGCGGUAAUACGUAGGGCGCGAGCGUUGUCCGGAAUUAUUGGGCGUAAAGAGCUCGUAGGCGGCUUGUCACGUCGGUUGUGAAAGCCCGGGGCUUAACCCCGGGUCUGCAGUCGAUACGGGCAGGCUAGAGUUCGGUAGGGGAGAUCGGAAUUCCUGGUGUAGCGGUGAAAUGCGCAGAUAUCAGGAGGAACACCGGUGGCGAAGGCGGAUCUCUGGGCCGAUACUGACGCUGAGGAGCGAAAGCGUGGGGAGCGAACAGGAUUAGAUACCCUGGUAGUCCACGCCGUAAACGGUGGGCACUAGGUGUGGGCAACAUUCCACGUUGUCCGUGCCGCAGCUAACGCAUUAAGUGCCCCGCCUGGGGAGUACGGCCGCAAGGCUAAAACUCAAAGGAAUUGACGGGGGCCCGCACAAGCGGCGGAGCAUGUGGCUUAAUUCGACGCAACGCGAAGAACCUUACCAAGGCUUGACAUACACCGGAAACGUCUGGAGACAGGCGCCCCCUUGUGGUCGGUGUACAGGUGGUGCAUGGCUGUCGUCAGCUCGUGUCGUGAGAUGUUGGGUUAAGUCCCGCACGAGCGCAACCCUUGUCCCGUGUUGCCAGCAGGCCCUUGUGGUGCUGGGGACUCACGGGAGACCGCCGGGGUCAACUCGGAGGAAGGUGGGGACGACGUCAAGUCAUCAUGCCCCUUAUGUCUUGGGCUGCACACGUGCUACAAUGGCGUACAUGAGCUGCGAUACCGUGAGUGACGAUCUCAAAAAGCGUCUCAGUUCGGAUUGGGGUCUGCAACUCGACCCCAUGAAGUCGGAGUCGCUAGUAAUCGCAGAUCAGCAUUGCUGCGGUGAAUACGUUCCCGGGCCUUGUACACACCGCCCGUCACGUCACGAAAGUCGGUAACACCCGAAGCCGGUGGCCCAACCUCC
rnacentral:rRNA from 1 species